CAAUUUAACAAUGUCUUUUCUCUUUUUGUUUCUGUUCAGGUGAUUGCUAUUGACAGGUCUUUAUUGAUUCUUUCUUCGGUUGUGUCCCAUUUCCUAAAUUCACCAACAAAAUUUUCAUGCCUGACAUCUCAUUUUUCAUUUCUAGUAUUUUCAUUUAGCUCUUUUUAAUACUUUCCAUAACUCUGAUGGAAUUCUCUGUCAUGCAUGUUGCCCACCUUUUCCACUAGAUCAUUUUAACAUACUUAUCACAGUUAUUUUACAGUUCCUGUCUGAUAAUUUUAACAUUUGGGCCAACUUUGGUCUGGUUCUAUUGAUUAUUUUAUCUCUUGACAAGUAGCCAUAUCAUUAUUUGGAGAAUGUGUAUGUGCCAUUAGUUUAUACUGAAUGCUACACAGUGUCUGCAAAAUAUAUUUAGUGAGGUAAAUACUCCCUAAAAUGGAGAAUUCCUUUCUUCCAUCAGGCUGUUAAUGACACAAGUUUCAUUAGUGUCUAGUCUGUAACAAGGCUGGGUUUAGACUUCAUUACUGCUUUAGUCAUAGUCUGUAUUUCAAAUUUUCUUAGUGGUGGACCCAUGCUCAGGCUGCCCAACACUUAGGGUGAAGCCAAAUAUAAUAGAUUCUAUGAAUUCUCCUCUGCCACCACCAACUUCAGCAGGCUUAAAUGCUGCACUACCGAAGAGGUCUCUCUCAGCAUCCCUGUGCCUCUCCUAGUGGUUCACUGCUGCCUGGUGCUUUGUGCAAAGCCCAGCAUUUAGCUCUAUAUAUCUGUGCCUCAGAGAGGAUCACUCUUCACCCUCCUGUCUGUUCUCCAAUGGGAGUUUACACUGUCUCAUGCUCAGUGCGGAACCAGAGCUUGGGGAGGUUUCUGGCCCUUACCCAGUAGCAGAUAAUCACUGACUCUUUUCCAUGUUGUAUCUAAGAGGGUUCCACUUGGUUUUCCUGCACUGGCCCUCAGUGCUAGGCAGGCCUUGUAUGCCUCUGCCUCAGGGGUGGGCCUUUCUCAACACUCCUGCCCUCUCCUGGUGGCAGAUAACUUCUGCCUUUAAUUCUUGGAAGGUCAGGAAACAGGAGAGUUUGUAUUGGUUCUCCUGCUUGAACUAUAGACUCAGGCAGGUUUGUGUACCUUUUCUCUUUAUUCUCCUGUCCUGCCCCCAAUCCUCCCUGCCAGCCAAAAGAAGCAUGAAGACACCUCCUUUGCCUGGGGCUUUCACAAAUUCCAAAGUGUUAUGCUACCCAUCUUUGGCUCUUAAAAAUUCAUUCCAACUUCAGCUGUUUUCUUCUCACUUGCUUCUGUCAUGCCCGCCUCCUCUUGCUGCAGCUCAGCCCAAGAUGAAGAUGAAACAAUCAUGUGUUCCAGCUCUUCUGGGAGGGGCUGUCAUCCUUUGGACCUUAAUUAAUCAGCAUACCUUAUGUCCUCAGCUUCUGACAGACUUAAAAAUACAUGAUUUUGCAGAGGGCCUGGAUUCUUAUUGUUAGAGUGGGAGAAACCUCUUCUUGCAACUUUUUCCAUGCCAGGCAGAAGACCUCCUUAAAUAUGAAUAUGAAUAAUAAACAACCUCUCCCCUUCUGGUAUGAAUUUAUAAGAUUUAAGACACAAAUUCACUUUUUGUAUCUGUAUUCUUUCCUAGUGAAACUGUAAUAAAAUCUUGCCACUUUCCUUUAGUCCCACAAGUCCUUGCACAGAGAGCUCAUGAAUAGUAAUGGCAUGAGGAAUUGGUGCACAAUCACCAAAGGAAUGGUUAACAUUAGAACAACCACAACAGACAUCUGUCGGGCACACAGCAGGUGAAGCAGGCUAUAUCUCAUGCAUGUAUGAUUUUAUGUUUCACAACUUGGUGAACUAGAUAACUGUUUUCCAGAUGUCAAAAUUCAUGUUCCGAGAAAUGAAAUGACUUGUCCAAGGCCAUACAGCUACUGCCGAGAGAAACCAAGACUUGAAUUUGAAGCGGUCUGGAUUCUAGAGUCUCCACUCUUAACCUCCACUGUAUAAAGGAGUGAGUGAGGGGUUAAAUAUUUACUUAAACUAAAUUUUCUUAUUUUGAUGCUCCAACUUCUAAUUCAUAGAGCUCUCCAUACAUCCAGGGUUAGGGCAACACACACACACCCCCACACACACCCCUUUUCACAUAAAUCUGCCACAAAGAAAUGCCAUUCACACAAUUCAUCUCAUCAGAAUGCUCUUACAUCACCCUACUGCCUUUAGAAGGGGACACCUUCCAGCCCACCCACCCAUUGUAACGGGCAGAAGG
rnacentral:lncRNA from 1 species